UAAAAAAUAAAAAAGAGAGCUCAUCCCCUUCCUAUCGAGAUCCUUCUUGCUUCCUACCGCCUGUUCGUGGCUUCCACCAAUGCUGCGACUCGCCGCCACCAAUCUCCACCAAUCCCUCUCCCCCAUACAACAAACAAUCCCAGUUUAAAUUUCAAAUCGCUAUGUACGCCGCCCAAAUCCUUGCUGCCCAUUUAUUUCCCCCAUUGCUCUAUCUUUCUUUCCUCCACGCUCUGUUUCCAAAGCUCUCCUCAAUCGCUGUCGCCCAGCCAUUCCCGGCUACCGGUGUCGCUGGAUCCCCAUCGAGGGUAUGCGGACGACGCAACCCCUGCCUCCGUUCUCGCUUGCCGUCGCCGGGACUGUGUGGACGCCGCACACCCUGAUGGCACGCCUGCCCGCUGUCGCCGACCUCACGAGUGCAGCGCCGCCACGUUAACCAACAUGUGGACCAUCCAUCCCGCUCAGUGUCGCCUUUGAUUCGCUUCCAUCCGAGCGCAUCAUCGGCUCUUCAGUUCUAUUCACGCUUUCUGGCGUAUCCAAGAGGUUUAAAUGUUCUUUUGGGUGCCAAGUUCAGUCGUAGCCCUGCUCUUAUCUCCUUCCACUGUUCCCAAGUACGGAGACUUGAGUCUGGUUAAACAGUUGUGCGACUAGAAAUAGUCAGUGCAAAUGUAAAUAGUGAAUACAUAUAUCCUAAAUUUCUUCAAAUUAUGAAUUUGUGCAUUGAACCGAUUAUAUUUGUUUAGAUUUUUUGGUGGCUAUCAUAUAAUAUAGGUGGUGGUAUCAUGAUAUAUCUUUUGUAAGUUAUGUUCAGUUUUCUUUCGGGACAAGAUGAGGUUACCGAAGAGUAACAGAGUGGAAGUGCAACCCAUUCCAACUUUUGAGGAUGUGCAUCCUUACACAGUUACACAAGGUGUGGUAUGUGUGUGAGUGUGUCUGAGUGUACCACAAAUUUCACGCGCAGAGAUUCCGUAUGGGAGGAAAGAAGCUCAACAUGGUGUUAUUGGACGAAAAGGUAAUGCUUAUGUGCAAAAAUAAUUUCUGCUGUAACAAAAAAUAAUUAUUAAUAAACGUUGGAUUGUCACUUUCUAUCUAUUUAAUUGUCAUUAGGGAGAACAAAAAUGGCUGCUAUGGGUAUACUGUUUACUUGUAGAGUGAUGAGUAUAUUAUGUAUGGAAGAUGGUCGCAGUCUCGCAGAACCAGUUAUGAGAAACGUGAACUAUAUGUUUGCAGAUAAUCACUUUGUGUUUCGUUUCACCUUAUAGACGGUAGCUAUGAGAUCAGAAAUGUGAAUGAGUAGUUGGUCCCAUGUUCCAGCCAUUUAUGCCUUUUGACAAAGUUUGGGAGUUCACCUUGGAUAUGACACGUAUGUUGGUAAGUGCUUUAGUUUUCUUUCAUAUAUUCUAAAUGUUCUUUGGUCACAGAUUAUCUACUAAUAGCUUAUCCGUUAAAAUGUUGAUAUCAUUGGCAUGGUUUUAUUUGUAAGUUCUAUUGGACAUAAGGAAAGUUUCUACAACCGAAGAAUCCUAGUGAGAAAUAUUGUUCUGCUUAUCUGGUAGAUGCCACGUAUGUACAUAUUGUGGAUUUCAAAUUUUAUCAUCUACUUAAUUCAAAUCUCUCACAUUUCUCUUCUGAAAUUAAUUGAUUUUGUAGCUAUAAUAUAGUCAAGUUAGUUGUAUGGGACAAGUUAGUGACUAAUAAUAUAAGUACAUUGGAAAAACUUGCCGAGGAGCGUGCUAUUGUGAUGGCAACAGCGUUAAGUGCAAAACGCAAUGGUUAGUCUAUAAGUGAAUGUGUUGUCGUAUUUCAUAUAAUAAUGUUGCAAAAAUAAAUGCUGCUAAUAGAUUGAUGUUCUGUUAUUAAUUAACUAGAUCAUAGCCUGCAUACUAUGGACUUUAGACUUUGACCCAAAUAUCACAGAUGCACGGACUUUAGUAGACUUUGACCCAAAUAUCGCAGAUGCGCGUGAACGAAGACAAAGGUAAUUGGAAAUUUGGUGGAAAUCAUUGAGGUAAAGUUAAUCUGUCCAACCAUACGUGAAUUAAUUGCUUGUAAAUAUUUUUGUGUAUGAUCAGUAAUGAGCUCCCUGGACCAAUCUCUCCUUGCCUAAAAGAAGAUGAAGAAUGGAGUCUAGAGUGACCGUGCCUUUUCCCAUGAUAUAGCUUUUGAAUAUAUGAUGUUGUUGUCGACUGGAGUACAAUCGGAGUCGGUUUAAGGGUCAUUUGAUUUUCUUUUCUCUUAGGGUUUAGGCUAGCAUGUAGGUCUUGUAGAUUUUUGUUGUGGGGCUGCUUUUGGAUUCUGUUACUUUUUUUGCUUAAUUUGGGUGUGAUAGCAAGUGCUUGUGUGAUUCAUGUUGUAACUGCAAGUGCGUUUCACUUAUGAGGUGAAAUCUUAAGGUUGUGUAAUGUCGGGAGCACUUUAGUGACAUAUCAAGUUUUUUUUU